GACGAACGCUGGCGGCGUGCUUAACACAUGCAAGUCGAACGAUGAUGCCCAGCUUGCUGGGUGGAUUAGUGGCGAACGGGUGAGUAACACGUGAGUAACCUGCCCCUGACUCUGGGAUAAGCGUUGGCAACGACGUCUAAUACUGGAUAUGACUGCCGGCCGCAUGGCCUGGUGGUGGAAAGAUUUUUUGGUUGGGGAUGGACUCGCGGCCUAUCAGCUUGUUGGGGAGGUAAUGGCUCACCAAGGCGACGACGGGUAGCCGGCCUGAGAGGGUGACCGGCCACACUGGGACUGAGACACGGCCCAGACUCCUACGGGAGGCAGCAGUGGGGAAUAGUGCACAAUGGGCGCAAGCCUGAUGCAGCGACGCCGCGUGAGGGAUGACGGCCUUCGGGUUGUAAACCUCUUUCAGCAUCGACGAAGCGAAAGUGACGGUAGGUGCAGAAGAAGGACCGGCCAACUACGUGCCAGCCGCCGCGGUAA
rnacentral:rRNA from 1 species